rnacentral:rRNA from 1 species
UUCGUGCUAAGGUAGCAUAAUCAUUUGUCCCUUAAUUAGGGACUAGAAUAAAUGGAUCCACAAAAUUUCAUCCUCUAAUUUCUAUUUAUAAAAAUUAAUUUAUGAAUGCAAAAGUUCAUAUCUUAUAAAAAGACCAAAAGACCCUAGCGAGCUUAAAUAUAGUAGAAUCUAUUCUAUAAUAUUUUCAAUUGGGACGAUUCAAGAUAUACUUCAUCUUUUUCCAAAAAUGAAAUAUACAUUCACCUUUAUUAUAAAAAAUAAAGUUACCGUAGGGAUAACAGGCUACUCAAUUUUAAAAGUUCACAUUAACAAAUUGUCUUAGCACCUCGAUGUUGGCUUA